CACUGCACCUCUGCUCCUGGGCCUAGGAUCUCCAUUUAAGUUCAGCCCCGAGCUCUUGCUGUUUCCCUAGUUUGUUUAGCGGUGUUUCUGUGGUGGAGCUGGUUUGUUUUCUAAUUUAAUUCCAGCUUCUAGAUACAUAUCCCACAAAGGAGACUUGCUACUGAUCUUUGCCUUGCUGUUUCUGACCACUGUCCUGGCUGGGCUUGGAACCUGAAACCUUAGAUUUUUGGAGGUUGUCAUUUGAUAGUUUGUAGUAAUUGUGGCCAAUGUGAUCCUGACCAGGAACAGCGUGGUUGUAUGCUGACUGGAAGAUUGCUACUGGUGCUCUGCUCAGCCUUUGCUGCUGGCUUGUCUCUGUUUGUGGUGUAUCUCUGUUUCUGCUGUAUCUGUAGUGUUCCUCCCCAGAAUGAAACACCCAGUUGAAGCUGAUGCUGCUGACAGUGGAAGCCUUUUCUGAUCUAAGAAUGGCAAGCAGGAAUAACUAGCAUUUUCCAACUUAGUACAUCUUACUUCAUCUCACUGAUGUCCCAAAUCAGCUGAGAUGGACCAUAUGAAGUUCAGCAAGGAGAAUUGUGAAGUCCUGAAUCUGUGAAGGAACAAUUGCAUGCACCAGAACGUGCUGAAGCCACCCAUUUGGAAAACAGCUGACAGAAGGCCCUGGGGAUCAUCGUCUUUGUGAGCCAAGCUUAAGAAGCCACAAAGUAGAAAACAAGGUGCCAUCCAUCUUUCACAUCCACCACUUCAACCUGAACCCUGCAGGCCCAGCCCUGCUUGAUGAGUGAGAAGCUACUGCCUAUGAAGAGGCUGGUCAGGAAGAAAGGAAGGGUAUUCAAACUGUGGGGAAAAAAGUCUACAAGGGAUAUGCUGACAAGAAUUCACUUUUCUUCAAGAUCAUCUGACUGAUAGUGGCAAAAUGGAGAUUUUCAUUUUGGUAUCUUUGGUAGGGUACCAAAGAUCUGCUUAAGCUUUAUGAAAAGAACCCAUAUGGCUUCCCAAAGGAUGUGUUCCAAAGUUUAGAGUAAGAAUGAACUUGGAUCCUCAAGAACA